rnacentral:rRNA from 1 species
GCAAGUCGACUGGAAUUCUCUUUCGGGUGAUAGUACGGUGGCGGACGGGUGAGUAACGCGUAAAGAACUUGCCCUCUAGACUGGGACAACUGUUGCAAACGACAGCUAAUACUGGAUAUUAUGAGAACGUCGCAUGGGGAACUUAUGAAAGGCUAUAUGCGCUAGAGGAGAGCUUUGCGUGCCAUUAGGUAGUUGGUAGGGUAAUGGCCUACCAAGACGACGAUGGCUAGCCGGCCUGAGAGGGUGAUC